CAAUAGCGUAUAUUAAAGUUGUUGCGGUUAAAAAGCUCGUAGUUGGAUUUCUGCCGAGGACGACUGGUCCGCCCUCUGGGUGAGCAUCUAGUUCGGCCUGGGCAUCCUCUUGGGGAACGUAGCUGCACUUGACUGUGUGGUGCGGUAUCCAGGACUUUUACUUUGAGGAAAUUAGAGUGUUCACGGCAGGCGAGCGCCUUGAAUAUAUUAGCAUGGAAUAAUAAUAUAGGAUCGCGAUUCUAUUUUGUUGGUUUCUAGAAUCACGAUAAUGAUUAAUAGGGAUAAUUGGGGGCAUUUGUAUUAACGCGUCAGAGGUGGAAUUCUUGGAUUGCGUUACGACAAACUACUGCGAAAGCAUUUGCCAAGGAUGUUUUCAUUGAUCAAGAACGAAAGUAUGGGGAUCGAAGACGAUUAGAUACCAU
rnacentral:rRNA from 1 species